UGGCUUUUAAAGACCCGAAAAGUAUAUUGCAGACCAUAUCCGCAAUCCGCGUUUUACCCGAUUGGGUAAUUCAAAAAAAGCGAAGCUUUAUUUAAGACCCUAUUGUUUCUGUUCAAAUGUGUGUUUUUACCGGAAGUAGUAACCAAUUCCGCAUUCUGAUUGGCUUAGAGCGAAAUUGUCAACAAAUGCGCUGAUUGGUCGAGAACAAAAUUCCCCCUUGUUGGCCGCUCAGGAACCAAUCAUACGGAUCGCUAUGAUGGACUUCCUAGUCUAAAAAA